rnacentral:rRNA from 1 species
ACCAUGGCUUCGGCCAUGGGGAGAGCGGCGAACGGGUGAGUAACACGUGAGCGAUCUGCCCUCGACACUGGGAUAGCCCGGGGAAACCCGGAUUAAUACCGGAUAGCCUCUCGAGUCCACGGGCUCGUGAGAAAAGAUGGCUUCGGCUUUCGGUUGAGGAGGAGCUUGCGGCGGAUUAGCUUGUUGGUGAGGUAACGGCUCACCAAGGCGACGAUCCGUAGCUGGUCUGAGAGGACGAUCAGCCACACUGGGACUGAGACACGGCCCAGACUCCUACGGGAGGCAGCAGUGGGGAAUCUUGCGCAAUGGGCGAAAGCCUGACGCAGCGACGCCGCGUGAGGGAAGAAGGCCUUCGGG